GCCGGAGUGGCGAAAUGGCAUACGCAGCGCACUCAAAAUGCGCCGGGGCAACCCAUGGGAGUUCGACUCUCCCCUCCGGCA
rnacentral:tRNA from 1 species